UAUUUUAUAAGAAAUAUUCUUGGAAAAUCUAAACUACCUUUUCCUUUCCUCUUCUGCUUUUCCAAAGAGAACAUUUUCCUCAUAUUAUUUGCUGAGCAAUUCUCAAUUACGAAAAAAUGGUCACUUGUGGAAGAAAGAAGUCCUUUUUUAGUUGGACAACUUGUUUAGAAAUUGAAAAGUGUUCAAGCAGAGACUGGUUGACUACUUGCAAACUGUGGGAGGAAUUCCUAUACCAUGGUAUAAAACCAGAUGACUUUCAAGGUUUCUGCCAUUCAUGAAUCCAGAAGAACGGGAGGUGAAGAAGAGGAUGAGGAGGAAGAGGGGAACGAAAAGAAAGGAGACAGGAGAGGAAGAGGAAGAAGGAGAAGACAACUCAAGGGAUCAGGAAUGGGAACUUGCAGGCCAGUGAGUUCCAGGAGGUAUGUGAUUUUAGUCAAGAGGUUAUCACCACAGGGACACCUGGCUGGCUCAGUCAGAAGAGCAUGUGACUCUUGAGCUCGAGGUUGUGAGUUCGAGCCCUAUGUUGGGUGUAGAACUUAAAAAAACUUAAAACUUAAGUUUUAAGUAAAACUUAAAAAAGAAAAAAGAGGUCACCACCACAGAGACUUAGUGCAAAAAGAGGGAACACUGAGAGGAUGAAUCUGAGGUCAGUGUGUGUGACUGCUAGGAAAAUCAGAUGAUAUAGAAAGGACAGAAAGGCACCCUUUCCAAUGAAGCAGAUCCAUUAAUUCAUUUAUUCAACAUAUAUUUGUUAACUGUAUGUACUCUGCACUGUUCCAGGGCACAGCAGUGGACAAAACCACGAAAAAAUCUGCCUUCAUGGACCCGAGGUGUCUGGAAGGCAGAUUCUUUCUGUGUCCAACUUGUUUGUGUGUGAAUGUCCCAGCAAGGCACCCAGGGAAAGAGAGGGGUUUAUUCAUUCUACAAAUAUGUACUGAACGCUUCACAGAUGGCAGACUCUGUGGGAUGCUGGGGAUACGGAAUGAAUCCUUGCCUUCAAGGAGCUCAUGAUCUCCUGGGGAGAGCUCUAUAUCCACUGAGACAUUUGCAGCUCCGUGUGUGGGAGGAAUACCCAAGCUACCUUGGCAACAAAGUGGUGGGGAGUGUUGGGAGUUUGCUUCUGCUUGGAAAUAGAUUUGGUGAUCUUGGAGGACCGUGACGGGAAUUCAAAGCCCGGUUCAGGUCAUUAGCAUGAGUGAAAGAUUCUGCCUGGGCAUCGGGUACCUAAGGUUCAGCUCUAUGCUCUAGGACACUGGGAAGAGUCUGUUCUCCAAAACCUGUCCCCUUACCCUUUUGUCUGCUCUCUCAGCACCGGUAUGUCACUGUUAGAAAUUCAUUUCAUUGCCUCAAUACACUUUUGUUAUUUUGCAUAGCAAGCUAUUGUAUGAAAAGAUAUUUUACAAAUAAAUUCUUUAUCAUUUAA